UUGAAAUGUGAUAGUAGUGUCUGUUAUUAAUACCUCUGUUAGUCAUGGUAGGGGGCAUGAGAGAGAGAGAGAGAGAGAGAGAGAGAGAGAGAGAGAGAGAGAAUAGCCUUUACCAGUGUCUGUCCUCCCAGAUGAUUUUCCUCCUUCUUAGACUGUUUAAGUCAAAGCAGAAUUUGGAAGUAAAAUAUUCAGAAAACCAGAUUGACGUUCUUGGUCUUUGCGUUGAAAUCAUCCCCUUUCCUUUCAGACCAGUGGGCUUCAGGAAAACACUUUGGUUCUUUUGUACGUCCUUCUUUAAUGCAUUCUUACCAACGUGCACCGCAGCUCCAAGCCGGAGUCUAAUUUGAAUCAGAUGCAGCACUCCACUGAAUCUCGGAAUUUAUUGAAAUGUUGUUUAAACUGUGAAAGUUCAGCCUCCACCUCCCCCAACAAAUUAUUUCUCUCCCCUUCCAACCAAGCUUCCCUUUCUGCAUGUGGAACAUCAGGAGAGCCCUCCUGUGGACAAUUUAACAACUGUAAUCUGCUGUUCUUGUAAACCAGCGUUCCAGGGUGGGCCAUUAUGUCAGCUCUGUGUGCUCGCUGGUGGGUUUUGAUCUUGUGAGCUGAGGACUUUAAUUGAAUGUUUAUUGCCAUGUGAAAAAUGAAUGUGAUUAUAGACUCCAUCUUGGCAUCACCAGAAGGAAAAGGAAGCCAUUCCAAGCCAUUUCACUUCAGGAAAGGGUGACGCGGCACACAGGAGGCAGCUGUGACCCUAAGAGUCACCACGAGAGGCUGGCAUCACUAGAAGGCUCGUUUUAGAGAUCUGUGCUCCAGUUCCAUGUGUUUUCCU
rnacentral:lncRNA from 1 species